rnacentral:rRNA from 1 species
GAUUAGAGUUUGAUCCUGGCUCAGGACGAACGCUGGCGGCAUGCCUAACACAUGCAAGUCGAGGGGCUCUUCGGAGUCACUGGCGCACGGGUGAGUAACACGUAGGUCAUCUACCCCUAUCACAGACAUAACCCCGGGAAACCGGGGCUAAUAUCUGAUGAGGUCGCGAGAUCAAAGCUUCGGCGGAUAGGGAUGAGCCUGCGGCUGAUUAGCUAGUUGGUGAGGUAAUGGCUCACCAAGGCGACGAUCAGUAGCUGGUCUGAGAGGACGAACAGCCACACUGGAACUGAGACACGGUCCAGACUCCUACGGGAGGCAGCAGUGAGGAAUAUUGGUCAAUGGGAGCAAUCCUGAACCAGCAAUGCCGCGUGUGGGAUGAAGGCGCUUCGCGUCGUAAACCACUGUCGGACGGGACGAAAAGAGCUAUAAAGCUCCGAGACGGUACC